rnacentral:rRNA from 1 species
GACGAACGCUGGCGGCGUGCCUAAUACAUGCAAGUAGAACGCAGUUGCGAACGGGUGAGUAACGCGUAGGUAACUGCCUCAUAGCGGGGGAUAACUAUUGGAAACGAUAGCUAAUACCGCAUACUGUGAGAUGGACCUGCGUUGUAUUAGCUAGUUGGUGAGGUAAAGGCUCACCAAGGCGACGAUACAUAGCCGACCUGAGAGGGGGAGCGGCAAGACUGGGACGGAGUGAAGGCCCAGACUCAUACGGGAGGCAGCAGUAGGGAGUGUUCGGCAAUGUAGGUAAGUUGGACCCGGCAACGCGGCGUGAGUGAAGAAGGUUUUCGGAGCGUAAAGCUCUGUUGUUAGAGAAGCGGUGACUAACCAGAAAGGGACGGCUAACUACGUGACAGCCGCCGCGGUAAGUC